rnacentral:ribozyme from 1 species
UCAAAAACACUACACAUAUAAAUCUAUGAUCAAUUCAAUCUAUAGAGAGAAAUUAAUAAGACUAAAAGAAAAAUAAGUAUUCAAUCUGAAAAAAUUGUUUACUUUUGUCACGAUUCUUUCGUUUCACUGUUUUUUUACUUUCCUUUUCUCUCACAGUUGGCAUAUUU